UACGAAGGGGGCGAGCGUUGUUCGGAAUUACUGGGCGUAAAGCGUGCGCAGGCGGUUUUGUAAGUCUGUCGUGAAAUCCCCGGGCUCAACCUGGGAAUUGCGAUGGGGACUGCAAGGCUAGAAUCUGGCAGAGGGGGGUAGAAUUCCACGUGUAGCAGUGAAAUGCGUAGAGAUGUGGAGGAACACCGAUGGCGAAGGCAGCCCCCUGGGUCAAGAUUGACGCUCA
rnacentral:rRNA from 1 species